GAACUUGGGACUCUACCUGAUCCGAGGUCACCGUGGAAAAAUAUGGAAGACCAACGCCCGUAGAUCCUUCCCGAGCGGGUGACAAAGCCCCAUACGCUCGAGGACCUAGGCGGGCGUCGCCACUGCCUUUCAGGCAGGUCCCCAGGGGGACCACACCCAACACACAAGCCGUGCUUGAGGGCAGAAAUGACGCUCGGACAGGCAUGCCCCCCGGAAUGCCAGGGGGCGCAAUGUGCGUUCAAAGAUUCGAUGAUUCACGGAAUUCUGCAAUUCACAUUACUUAUCGCAUUUCGCUGCGUUCUUCAUCGAUGCCGGAACCAAGAGAUCCAUUGUUGAAAGUUUUGAUUAUUAUCAAUCAUGCUCAGACAGUCCAUCUUCAUUAGGGUUCAAGGGCGCUCUGGCGGGCACGGGCCCAGGGGCAGCACAGUGCCCCUCGGCGACUGGGGAUUCCCAGUGGGCCCGCCAAAGCAACAGGGUAUACAAGAGACAAGGGUGGGAGGUUCACAACAGUCACGGUUGGAAUUUUGGGCUGAACAUACCCAAAGUCGGAAUCGGGAAAAAGAGCCGCCAGGAUUACAAUUUAUUAUAUUACAAUCC
rnacentral:misc_RNA from 1 species